GACGAACGCUGGCGGCGUGCCUAAUACAUGCAAGUAGAACGCUGAAGGAGGAGCUUGCUUCUCCGGAUGAGUUGCGAACGGGUGAGUAACGCGUAGGUAACCUGCCUGGUAGCGGGGGAUAACUAUUGGAAACGAUAGCUAAUACCGCAUAACAGUAGAUAUCGCAUGAUAUCUGCUUGAAAGGUGCAAUUGCAUCACUACCAGAUGGACCUGCGUUGUAUUAGCUAGUUGGUGAGGUAGCGGCUCACCAAGGCGACGAUACAUAGCCGACCUGAGAGGGGGAUCGGCCACACUGGGACUGAGACACGGCCCAGACUCCUACGGGAGGCAGCAGUAGGGAAUCUUCGGCAAUGGACGGAAGUCUGACCGAGCAACGCCGCGUGAGUGAAGAAGGUUUUCGGAUCGUAAAGCUCUGUUGUAAGAGAAGAACGAGUGUGAGAGUGGAAAGUUCACACUGUGACGGUAUCUUACCAGAAAGGGACGGCUAACUACGUG
rnacentral:rRNA from 1 species